rnacentral:rRNA from 1 species
GACGGAGGGUGCAAGCGUUGUUCGGAUUGACUGGGCGUAAAGGGCGUGUAGGCGGUCGGCCAAGUCUGAUGUGAAAGCCCGAGGCUCAGCCUCGGCAGUGCGUCGGAAACUAGUCGGCUGGAGCGCGAUGGAGGAGGGUGGAAUUCCUGGUGUAGCGGUGAAAUGCGUAGAUAUCAGGAGGAACACCUGUGGUGUAGACAGCUUACUGGACCACGACUGACGCUGAGGCACGAAAGCGUGGGUAGCAAACAGG